GCUACUGGCUCCAUUCCAGUAUCGCUCCGGAAGGCCCUUGUGUCCCUAGUGCCACUGGCCACCUAGGCCAUUUGGAAACACCGCAAUGCUUGCAUCUUUGACCUUCAGCAACCCUCUGUUAGCCGCUUGUUUGACUUGAUCCAGGACGACGCGCGCACCUAGGCCUUGGCCGGUGCCAAAGGACUCCAAGCUGUAAUCGACGCGUUGUAA
rnacentral:rRNA from 1 species